rnacentral:rRNA from 1 species
GACGAACGCUGGCGGCGUGCUUAACACAUGCAAGUCGAACGGAAAGGCCCUGCUUUUGUGGGGUGCUCGAGUGGCGAACGGGUGAGUAACACGUGUGUAACCUGCCCUUGACUUUGGGAUAACUUCAGGAAACUGGGGCUAAUACCGGAUAGGAGCCCCUGCUGCAUGGUGGGGGUUGGAAAGUCUCGGCGGUUGGGGAUGGAUUCGCGGCUUAUCAGCUUGCUGGUGGGGUAGUGGCUUACCAAGGCUUUGACUGGUAGCCGGCCUGGGAGGGUGACCGGGCACAUUGGGACUGCGAUACGGCCCAGACUCCUACAGGGGGCAGCAGGGGGGAAUAUUGCACAAUGGGCCGGAGCCUGAUGCAGCAGCGCCGCGGUCGGGAUGACGGCCUUCGGGUUGUAAACCGCUUUCGCCUGUGACGAAGCGUGAGUGACGGUAAUGGGUAAAGAAGCACCGGCUAACUACGUG